UUCCUACGGGGGCAGCAGUAGGGAAUCUUCCGCAAUGGACGAAAGUCUGACGGAGCAACGCCGCGUGAGUGAUGAAGGCUUUCGGGUCGUAAAACUCUGUUGUUAGGGAAGAACAAGUACAAGAGUAACUGCUUGUACCUUGACGGUACCUAACCAGAAAGCCACGGCUAACUACGUGCCAGCAGCCGCGGUAAUACGUAGGUGGCAAGCGUUAUCCGGAAUUAUUGGGCGUAAAGCGCGCGCAGGCGGUUUCUUAAGUCUGAUGUGAAAGCCCACGGCUCAACCGUGGAGGGUCAUUGGAAACUGGGGAACUUGAGUGCAGAAGAGAAAAGCGGAAUUCCACGUGUAGCGGUGAAAUGCGUAGAGAUGUGGAGGAACACCAGUGGCGAAGGCGGCUUUUUGGUCUGUAACUGACGCUGAGGCGCGAAAGCGUGGGGAGCAAACAGGAUUAGAUACC
rnacentral:rRNA from 1 species